rnacentral:rRNA from 1 species
AACAAACGCUGGCGGCGUGCCUAAUACAUGCAAGUCGAACGGGGAAAGCUUUCGGGUGAGUACUAGUGGCGCACGGGUGAGUAACACGUGGGUAAUCUUCCUCAGAGUGUGGGAUAACUAGUCGAAAGAUUAGCUAAUACCACAUAGACCACAGGAUCUGCGGAUCCAGAGGUCAAAGGUUUUUCGCUCUGAGAUGAGCCCGCGCAGGAUUAGCUAGUUGGUGAGGUAAUGGCUCACCAAGGCAACGAUCUUUAGCUGGUCUGAGAGGAUGAUCAGCCACACUGGAACUGAGACACGGUCCAGACUCCUACGGGAGGCAGCAGUAGGGAAUAUUGCACAAUGGAGGAAACUCUGAUGCAGCGACGCCGCGUGAGUGAUGAAGGACUUCGGUUCGUAAAGCUCUGUCGUAUGGGAAUAAUAAAGUGAAUGUACCAUGCAAGAAAGGAUCGGCUAACUUCGUGCCAGCCGCCGCAGUAACAC